GACGAACGCUGGCGGCGUGCUUAAUACAUGCAAGUCGAGCGGGAUGUAGCAAUACAUCAGCGGCGGACGGGUGAGUAACGCGUGGGCAAUCUGCCCUCUAGCCUGGGAUAACAGUUCGAAAGGACUGCUAACACCGGAUACUCUCACAACCCGGCAUCGGGAGGUGAGGAAAGUUUACACUAGAGGAUGAGCCCGCGUCCCAUUAGCUAGUUGGUGAGGUAACGGCCCACCAAGGCGACGAUGGGGUAGCCGACCUGAGAGGGUGAACGGCCACGACUGGGACUGACGACACGGCCCAGACUCCUACGGGAGGCAG
rnacentral:rRNA from 1 species